rnacentral:rRNA from 1 species
UACAGGGGGGGCAAGCGUUGUUCGGAAUUACUGGGCGUAAAGGGUCUGUAGGUGGCCAACUAAGUCAGACGUGAAAUCCCUCAGCUUAACUGGGGAACUGCGUCUGAUACUGGAUGGCUUGAGUGCAGGAGAGGAAUGCGGAAUUCCAGGUGUAGCGGUGAAAUGCGUAGAUAUCUGGAGGAACACCGGUGGCGAAGGCGGCAUUCUGGACUGUAACUGACACUGAGGUGCGAAAGCGUGGGGAGCAAACAGG